GCCUAACGCAUGCAAGUCGAGCGAGGACCGCCCGGUGGCAACACCGGGUUGGUGCCUAGCGGCGAACGGGUGAGUAACACGUGGGUAACCUGCCCCCGACACCGGGAUAAGCCUGGGAAACGGGGUCUAAUACCGGAUAUUGAGCCUCCUCCGCAUGGUGGGGGCUGGAAAGGGUCUCCGGUCGGGGAUGGGCCCGCGUCCUAUCAGCUUGUUGGUGGGGUAACGGCCUACCAAGGCGACGACGGGUAGCCGGCCUGAGAGGGUGUACGGCCACACUGGGACUGAGACACGGCCCAGACUCCUACGGGAGGCAGCAGCGGGGAAUAUUGCGCAAUGGGCGAAAGCCUGACGCAGCGACGCCGCGUGCGGGACGAAGGCCUUCGGGUUGUAAACCGCUUUCAGCAGGGACGAAGCGAAAGUGACGGUACCUGCAGAAGAAGGUCCGGCCAACUACGUGCCAGCCGCCGCGGUAACAC
rnacentral:rRNA from 1 species